AUAAGUACCUGGCCACGUCUUCUUGUAUUUUUGUCCAUCUGAUGAGUUAAGCCUUUUCAACUGAUUUUUAUAGUUCGUUCUUAUGUUGUACUGUUAUACCACUGUCCCAGGUUAGGGGAGGGUUGGGAUCCCACUAACAUGUUUAACCCCGCCACAUUAUUUAUGUAUGUGCCUGUCUCAAGUCAGGAGCCUGUAAUUCAGUGGUUGUCGUUUGUAUAUGUGUUACAUAUUUGUUUUUCGUUCAAUUUUUUUAUACAAAUAAGGCCGUUAGUUUUCUCGUUUGAACAGUUUUACAUUGUCUUAUCGGGGCAUUUUAAAGCUGACAAUGCGGUAUGGGCUUUGCUCAUUGUUGAAGGCCGUACGGUGACCUAUAAUUGUUAAUGUCUGUGUCAUUUUUGUCUCUUGUGGACAGUUGUCUCAUUGGCAAUCAUACAACAUCUUCUUUUUUUUUAUAUUCACAUGGGUAAAACUACUUCGGUAACAAACAGUUUAAAAG
rnacentral:lncRNA from 1 species